CAAUGAAUUAACUCCCACAGGGUUAUUGGUUAGGACACCUAAAUCACUUACAAUCAAGUUAAACUCCUCAGAAAGACUCAGCUUGGGAAUAACAGGUCAGUGGCCAAAGGAAUGGGAGAUUAUCCUCACGUGUGGAAUAAUCGGGACAGAUGGUUUAUGGACCGGAUGGAGUCGAUGCACCCCUAUAACAAAGUCUUUUGGGCUGCUGAUACGCCAGGAACGGAAAAGUAUGUGACCUUGAACUUCACACUUACCAAGAACUGUACCUGGCAGUUACGAGACAAGACAUUUACGGCUCCAUUUCGCAUGAAACUGGAAUAUCCUGACUUGUUACCUUUACCUGUGAUGACUUAUGAAGACACUGCAAUAACUGUGACUGUGCAUAAUAACGUAUCUGUCUGGUUGGCUAUGAUGAACUGUAAACCUGAUUCUAAUGGACUAUCAUGUUGGACAAUUGAAGGGGGGCAACAACUGACUGCAAUGUCAACACCCGAGAAUGAUGUAAUAUUAUAUGUGUUUAAACAGGAAGCAACAACAAAUGUAACAGUACCAGUAAUGUUAUGGGAAAUUCAUAAGACUAGAAGAGGGAAUGGUUAUCCAUUUGAUGCAACAUUACUUAGACAAAUGAAAGGUUAUAAAAAAGCUAGGAUAGCACAUAAAAUAAUUACUGUAGCACUCAACAUUAAUGUUAGUGGGUUUGAUAUAAAACGUCACGAGUUUCCAAGA